GGAGAGAUGGUCGAGCGGUUUAAGGCGGCGGUCUUGAAAACCGUUGAGGCGUAACACCCUCCGGGGGUCCGAAUCCCCCUCUCUCCGCCA
rnacentral:tRNA from 1 species